GACGAACGCUGGCGGCGCGCUUAACACAUGCAAGUCGACCGGAAAGCCCUGUUUUCCUUUGUGGUUUCGGGUACCCGGGUUGCCAACGGGGUGGUUACACCGGGGUUAAUCUGCCCCCACCUUGGGAAUAACCUGGGGAAAUUGGUCCUAUUUCCCGUAGGACCGGCGGGGUGGUCCUGGUGUUGGAAAACGUUUUCUUGGGGGUGGGGGUGAGCUCGCGGCCUAUCAGCUUGUUGGUGGGGUAAUGGCCUACCAAGGCGGCGACGGGUAGCCGGCCUGAGAGGGUGGACGGCCACAUUGGGACUGAGAUACGGCCCAGACUCCUACGGGAGGCAGCAGUGGGGAAUAUUGCACAAUGGGCGGAAGCCUGAUGCAGCGACGCCGCGUGGGGGAUGACGGCCUUCGGGUUGUAAACUCCUUUCGACCGCGAGGAAGCCACCUGGUUGGAAGGGUGGUGACGGUAGUGGUAGAAGAAGCACCGGCUAACUACGUG
rnacentral:rRNA from 1 species